GGUUCGCUACUCUCUUGACCCAGAAAACCCCACAAAAGUAUGCAAAUCAAGAGGAUCAAACCUUUGUGUUCACUUUAAGAACACCCGGGAAACUGCCCAGGUCAUCAAGGGUAUGCAUAUUCGCAAAGCCACCAAGUAUCUGAAGGAUAUGGACGGUGGCCAAAAAAGAGUGCUGACUUUUUGCUGCAGAUGCUUAAAAAUGCAGAGAGUAAUGCUGAAUUUAAGGGUUUAGACAUGGAUUCUCUAGUCGUUGAACAUAUCCAGGUGAACCUAAGAUGCGCUGACGAACCUACAGAGCUCAUGGCCAGAUUAACCCAUACAUGAGUUCUCCCUGCCAUAGUGAGAUGAUCCUCACUGAGAAGGAACAGACCGUUCCAAAGCCAGAAGAGGAGGCUGCACAGAUGAAAAAGAUAUCCCAGAAGAGACUGAAGAAACAAAAACUCAUGGCACGG
rnacentral:lncRNA from 1 species